AGGCUCGACAAGAAGCUCAGAGACCUCAGCCUUGACCCUGCCUUGUGCAGCUGGAUCCUGGACUUCCUGGCAGAUCGCCAGCAGCAGGUCUUCUCCACAUACUUUUGGUGGGUCGGUCCAGUCCAGCACACCUCCAUCAGUUGGAUUCCCCACUGUGAGUGAGGAGAAAUCACUGCAGUUCUGUGAGGAGAAGAGAAGCCAGCACCUUCUGGAUUUUUGCAUUUCAUUGUGAACACCAAUAUAGUCCAGAGCCUCUUGAGGUCUCCAAAGCAUUAUAUUUUCACAAG